rnacentral:rRNA from 1 species
UACGUAGGGUCCGAGCGUUGCCCGGAAUUAUUGGGCGUAAAGGGCUCGUAGGCGGUUUGUCGCGUCGGGAGUGAAAACACGGGGCUUAACCCCGUGCCUGCUUCCGAUACGGGCAGACUAGAGGUAUGCAGGGGAGAACGGAAUUCCUGGUGUAGCGGUGAAAUGCGCAGAUAUCAGGAGGAACACCGGCGGCGAAGGCGGCUUUCUGGACAGAUACCGACGCUGAGGCACGAAAGCUAGGGGAGCAAACAGG